rnacentral:lncRNA from 1 species
AGGCAGGGAUGGUUCACUUUCACCAAUUUCAUUGACGGCCUUGACACGGAACUCAUACAUUUGGUGUUCAUCGAGAUCUUCAACAAGAAAAGAUGUGGUUGGGCAGAGGCGCUUGUUAACUCUUUCAAAGUCAGGUUUGUCAUGACGCCGUUUUUCAAUGAUGUAGCCUUGGAUGGGGCAGCCGCCAUUACUGCGGGGCUCUUUCCAGUCAAGGGUGAUGGUGGACUUGGUCCUUUCUGUAUAUGUGAGCCUCUCAGGAGAUGUUGGAGGACCUUUAACCAGAGCAGACAUUUUGAGAUGGGCUGUUACAGUGAGAAGUGGGUCAACUGCAAGAAUUGGUCCUAUUUCAACAGGAGGGCCACAGCCAAACUUGUUCUUGGCAAUCACACGGAACAUGUAUUCUUGUCCCUCAAGGAGACCUGUGAUGUCACAUUUAGAUCUCUCAGUCUCUAUUGGUUGCCUCCAAGUGUGCAUCUUAGCAUCCUUUCUUUCAAUAAUGAAGCCUGUGAUGUCACUUCCUCCAUCAUCUUCUGGAUCAGACCAGCGGCCCUUCACCUGCAGCGUUGACAGCACUCACUCGAAGUUUGUAAUCGGCACCCUCUCGGAUUUCUCUGACCGUGUACUCACGGGGCUUGAUCAUCUUCUCUGUGCAGCGGGACCAUUCAUUUGUGCCAACCAGCUGCUUAUAGACAUAGUAGCCAACAAUUUCCCCACCACCAUUGAAAGCUGGGGGUUCCCAGGCCAGUUCAAUCGUCGUGGAACUUGUGUCAGUGACUCUGGGGACAGGUGGCCCAGGUGGAGCUGGAAUGAAUGCAUACACAGAAAUCAAAACUCACUGAGGGUUUGA